CAAAGCUCCGUGUGGACAAACAUGCUGACUUGCUGCGCACAGGGAUUUGCAUUGUGAAGACUGUUUAGCUGAGCUUAACAGGACUGCGAGCCCCACCUGCAGCCACUCCCUGUCCAGGAGAGCCAGGAAACCCUCCAGCGUGCGGCAGCUCGGGUCCAUGAUGAGUUGGGCCAGAGUGCAGAUGAGUAAAGUGCAGUCUGUACCUUCAUAGCCGUGGACCAGCGCUGAAUGACCAUCCCUGGACAAAAACAAUACAGUCUAUUAAAAAGAGUCAUAUGCGUUCAUUCCUUAA